ACCCCUGGGAUAGCUCAGUCGGUAGAGCACGAGACACUUAAUCUCAGAGUCGUGGGUUCGAGCCCCACGUUGGGCA